UGUGUGUGUGUGUGUGUGUGUGUGUGUGUGUGUGUCGCUAAGCACUGCCAGUUGGAUUAUUACCAACAUGGCAGUGAGUGGACUCUAGUACCUACACACACACACACACACUGCUUAGAGAUCCUGUCCUAAGGUAUAGCCCGGAGGUCUGGACAGUGGUGCGUGGAGACUACGGCUCUCAAGAGGACACACAGCAAGCAGCUCUACUCUGAUAGAAUCGAGGUGUUUCUUUCCUACAGGGCAGAUCCACAGCAGACCAGGACAGGAGAGAGUGGAGUCUGAAGAACACAUUAUGUGUCACAAUAAUUACAGACGCGGACGACAAAAGAGCAAUCUUAUCAGUAUGAAUUUCUAGAAUCAGUCCAGCCACAGCCCUGACCCCAGUGAACUACACUCGUGUGAUGACGAGUAACCUUGCCUUAGGAGAUGUCCCCCCCCCAUCAUGGUCCCAGUAACCACCUGACAACAUGGCUGUGGGGAAGGUGUUAACAGUGUCUGAGGAGCUGUUGGUCCAGUACACUACAGAGACACAAAAAGCCUCUUCAGGAACCAUUUACAUGCAAAACACACAUUCUCUCCUCCACACAAACACCAUCCACAGCGUAUUCAAACACACACACACACACGUUAUUAUAAACACACUCACACAAACAUACAGACACACAAAUGUUUUGAUGACACUGAAGAGGAGACAAGGUGAGAGGUGAAAGAGGGAGAAAAAGGAUAGAAGACAGAGGAAGAGAUUAAGAUAAAGGAGAGAGACAUGAG
rnacentral:lncRNA from 1 species